rnacentral:sRNA from 1 species
GAGGGGAAAGGCAUAGAGAAAAAGGGGAGAAGACACUCUUGCAAAAGAAGGGAGAAACAGAAGCAAUAGCUCCUUACAUUUCCUCAGAAAGGGAGAGUGAGAAAGCUUGAUUAUUUUCUAGGAAAUGGUAUGUAGAAAGGUUUGGCAGGAGGUGAGUUUAUGAGGGAAUUUGAAAGUAUUAAAGGGAAAGUUACUUCUCUGAAAAAGCAAGAAGAGACAGAGACACAAGAGCGAAGGAGAAGAAAGUUUUGUUAUGAACAUGCUUGAAGUUUUGCCAACAUUCUGGACAUAUGUAAACAGAGUGCUCAAUGGAACAUCUGUCUGCUGCAGCCACUACUUCCUUCAUUGGACUGCAAGGUAUUUCUGUUUGGAAAAGUAAUGGAGUCCAGUCAACUUCAUUGAUCUCCAAGGACUGUCAAAAUUAUAAAACUUGCUGUGGAGCUCUGACAUGCCAGAAGCCGCUAGAAAAAGAAGUUUGACAUUCAGAAACUUAUCAAGAGGUUCUACUCUUUGGAUAGAGACCAAAAUAAUACUUUGAAAAAGCCUGACAGGUUUCUUCGGAAAAGUGGCCAUCCAUGGAAUGAAUGAAAUGUUCUCUUUCUAUUCCAGGGAUUGCAGUGGCAAAGCUAGGCUAGGUCUUGGAGGCUG